rnacentral:lncRNA from 1 species
CUCUGGCCUGAGCCCCCAACAUCUCCCACCUGGGUGCCCCCCCCCCAGUCCUGUCCAUUCUCAACAAACAGCCAAAGUGAGCCUUUUAACACUUGAGACCCUGCCAUUUCCUGCUUAAAAGAUGUGACGGUGACUCCUGGCAGAGUCAAAGCUGAGGGUUUCAGGUGCCUUCACGGUCCGACCCGAUUUGCCCCAGCGUCUCCCGUUAGGACCCUCUGGCUGCCUGCCCCCCGCUCUAGCCCCAGUAACUUCCGUCGGUACCUGGAACACCCCAGACCUGCUUCUGCCUCUGGGCCUUUGCCCUGGCAGUUCCCUCCUCUCCCAGACCAACUUGUCCCCUCCUCCUCUGGGCUUUGCUGAGAUGUCACUGUGACAUCCUCCCCUGACCACUGUAUUUAAAAUGGCAAGUCCCACUUCCUGCAUUGGAAUGUCGGUCACCCCUUACUGUGGUCUACCUUUUCUUUUCCAACCACCCCCCUGCCAGCAUUUACACUCUUCUCUUUAUCUAGUUAUUGGGUGGUGUUUACUGUAUCUCUCCACUUUCACAGGCUAGAGACUCUUGUCAGCUUUCACUCACUGAUGGCACGCAAGAACCUAGAUUGGCACUUGGCAUGUAGUAGACACUAAGUAAAUAUUUGCUAAGUGAAUGACCACAGCAGAAUGCAGAUGUCUUUAAAAAAACUAGGGUGCUCAAAAUAUUUGAGGUUGUGAUUUAACAAAGACCAAUCAUCAGGAAUUUGAGAGAAUUAAUAAUCAGAACUCUUUCCUUGCAAGUGACAGCAGUUUGAAUAGUCCUGGUUUAAAUAAAAAAGGGAGGGAGGAAGAAAUGUGUUCACUUAGCUUCAGGCAUGGCUGGAUCCAGGGGUUCGAAGGAUGCUUUUGGGAUUCUGUCUCUGUGCUUUCCUCCUUCGGUGUCUGCUUCAGUCCCAGGCGGCCUCUCCCUUUAUGGUGGCAAAGAUACCACAGACAUCUAUAGGCUUUUAUGUUACCAGCCACCCCAUGAGCAGGAAGGUGCAUUUUUUUUUCUAUAUUACCUGUUCUUCUGCCCAAGAUUUGCUCCCCAAGCUCUCUCAGUGGCACAGCAAUGGACUGUGUAUGUUCGUCUGUACUGAUUUCUGCGCACUGGUUUCUACAGUUGAAAACCACACAUUCCCUCUGAUCCCCCGGUUCCCAUCCAGCAGCACAGGGUUGGUUUUAGGGCUUUCCUCCCUUUCCCCGUAUGUCCUCCCUUCUCUGACAGUGAGGCCAGGCCCCCACUUCCUUCAUGUAUUACUUGUUUGCUCAGUGCCCCACGGGUAACUCCCCCUCCCCACAGGGCUGGGCGUCCCCUUGUGAGGACGUCCUCCUCACCAGCUCCGACCUCAGGCUACCGUUUCCCUCCGGUUUCCGCACAGAUGCCCCCCCUUGUCCUGACCCACUUGACGGCUAUCACUCUGGUUUGUUCCGAGUGGGAAGAGGAGAGAAGGCAGGACGCCUUUAUCUUUAUGUCAGUUACCCCAAGAGACUCAGGCCUCCCAGGCCAUCCCCGAUUUCCAGGACCUGAGUGACGUGAGUGACAGCUCGCCGCUGCCCUUCACCCAGCCUCGCCAGGGCUCCCUCCCCUCUCCUGCUGCGUUUUCCGGGCACUUGGCGCCAUCCCCGUAUUGAUUGGACAGAUUCUUAACCCUGCAGCCCUCAGUGCCUGGCGUGUGGAAGAACCAGGAGAUAUUUGCUCGAUGAGUGAGUCCCAGGAGAGCGCCGUCCCACGUGGACAGGGAGGCUCUGAGGCCACUGCCGGGCGCAGGGCGGGGGUGGUGUGUCAUGACUGAACCACGUCCCCCUGCACGGUGGCCAUCCCUGGCUGGCGAAGGCUUGCGUGCCCUUCAUCCCAGCACCCCGGCAGGUGGCACCCCCCCUGGCCCUUGCAGCGCCAGUAACUUCUGGGAGUGGCUGAGGCGAGGAGGUACAGUUAGCAUCAUUCAUUGCUGGUGUUGUACAGGCUGUCACAACUAAUGAAAUUUUAUGACAGACGGGCAACGACCAGCUUCCUGGUGUUAUUUAUCUUUCUCGCUUCUGGCUCAGAGCACCGGGUGAUUUUUCAUUUACAUUUAAAAAUGCCAAGAUGACUAAGCGCAAUUCGCCUACUCAGAAAACUAGCAAAUUGUGUCAGUGCACACACGCAGUUAAUAAUCAUCAGGCCUGAGCAAGGAGGAGCAGCAAGGCAGGCCGGUCUGUCUGCCCCGUUCCCUCCCUCUCCUGCCACCCUCUCCCCCAGCUCCCAGACACCAGGGACGAACAUCAUGGGUUUAUCCUUUGCCCACUCCUGAUAUUUGCCGUUCUCGAAAUGACAAACAAAAGCUUCUGAGUGGUGACAUGGGCCCCUAUGACUCCACAGAUUUAUUUGUAGCAAGCUUAGAGGAGGUGAUGCAAAUAGUUGUAACACCUGGGGGUGGGAGGGUUUAAGAACAUAGAAAAUGGAACGUGAGAAGGGACGGAGGCCCCAGGAGGCAGGUUAAUCCUAGAGUGACAAGACUCAAGGUUGUGAGACUGUGUUUAUAGAACCCAGAGACCUCGCAGAACUAAUUAAUCACAGCGCCCCAAACCUGUAUGUGCUUUGAAACAUUUCUUUUGCACACACGGCUGACGCUCUCAUAGCCCCAUUCCUGAAAUAUUAUCCCUGCCUCCAUCCCCACCUGCUCCUGCAGAACCUCCAGGCUCUGCAGUUCCCCGCCCCCCACAUAUUACUUCCGCGGGGUCCCGAGAGGUAUCUCGCAUGUGUUCACUAAUAAACAGUGAGGUCUCGGGUAACACCUGCAGUCUUUUUUUUUAUUUUCUGCGGGUCCCAUGAGGUUUUGAUGAACUGCCUCCUUGAGCCACCCCAAGCAUCAGGCCUGUGUCCCUCCCCUGGGAGCCCUUCAGAGUCUAGAGAAGAUGCUUCUUCUCCACUCCCAGUGUUUGCCCAGGGAUGGUAAAAUUGUGCCGUGAGUGUUCCUGUGCCUUCUCGAUUUUUUUAGUAAACAGCUCUGGGGCGGGGAGACACAGCUGAAAGCCAACAUUAGGCUCUUCCCAAAACCCAAGUGCAGCGUCGUGACUGAGGCCUUGUAAGGGGCCAUGCUGUUCGCCUCACCUCUGGGGACGGGCUCCUUCCCAGACGGCUCUGGGAGGCCCCACAUGCCCAGACAUGCCACCUCACCGAAGUGGGCAUUGCCCAGGCUCCCGGUGGCACAUCCUGAUUCGGAGGGGACUGGUGGGGCCAGAAAGCAGAUCAGACACAGAAGUGCCCUCAAGGACUUCAUUGCACUAAUAGACCUGUAGAAAAUAAACAAACGGUGGCGGCGGGGGGGAGCUGCGUGCAUUGAGGGGGCGCAGAUAAUGGGGCCGAGAGCACAGCUCCUUCCUGCAGAGUCGAAGCAGGAAUGUCCUUGAGGGAUGCGAACACCUGGAGAAGGUGAGCAGAACAAUAUUCCAGGAAGAAGGGGCACAGGGUGCUUCCUAGAAACUCAGGGGUGAUGGCAAAGGUUUGGAUUGGCCCCCGCCAUGCUGUUGGGGGAUGUUUGGGGAAAUUAUGGCAGGAAUGGGAGUGAGACUAAGAACAGGAGAUCCCUGACUGUCGGCUGAGUUGCCUGUGUCUUACUUCAUAUGCAGCAAAAUAUACCAAAGUGAGAUGUGAAACUAGAUGGUGCCAUUAAAAGCUGUGGUGCAGAGGGCCGUGGCGCUGGGCCCAGUAGAUGCACCUGGCUCAGUGUGCGUCAGGUGAAUAGGAGGAGGGGUGGGAUGGGCGGUCCAGGGGGAGGCUUCUGCAGUAGCUGCAGGUGUGUCUGAGGUUGAAAAGAGGGAAGGCGGAGUUCCCAUCGUGGCUCAGUAGUUAACGAGCCUGACUAGCAUCCCUGAGGAUUCGGGUUCAAUCCCUGGCCUCGCUCAGUUGGUGAAGGAUCCAGCGUUGCCAUGAGCUAUGGUGUAGGUGGCAGACGUGGCUCAGAUCCCAUGUUGCUGUGGCUGUGGUGUAGCCCGGUAUCUACAGCUCCAAUUAGACUGCUGGCCUGGGAACCUCCACAUGCUGUGGGUGCAGUCCUAAAAAGACAAAAAAAAAGUGAUGAGGCUGGAUGACAGAGCAGACAGGUAUUGAGGCGAGGGGACAGAGGCGUCUGAGAGGCAUGCGUGAGCCUCGAGUCAUCAGGAAGAGAGCAGCGCUGGGCUCGAGAGGAGGAGGACGUCUUGGUCGGAGCUCGAUGGACUCUCAUCUUCAGAAUGUGAAGGUGGGUGGGACAGGCCCACCUGCCAGGUAGGAAAACUGUGACCGAGAGGGGUGUCCUUGCUCACAGGGUGCAAGGCAGGAUGGACCUCAAACUCGGACCUUGGGGUUUCAAAACAUCCGCUCUUUUCUUUAGAGACCUGCCAAGCGGCUGUGUAGUGGGGACGGGACCAAAAAGAAGUCCACAGAAAGAUGAGCACCACAGAGGGAUGCUCUCGGUGCGCAAAGCUAACGCGUUGUCCUGUUCUUGGGAGGACGGUCAGGCAGAUGAACUCCCCUGGUCCCCCGCACUGAGACGCUUCCUGGGCACAUGGCUCCCCAGUCCCAGGUAGGUCUCCGAAAAGAGAGGCUCCCAAGAAAUCAACUCUGAAGCCCAAGCAUAGAGGGAGUGAUUGUGGAGAGAAACUGGGCACACCUUCCACCCUGAUCUUGCUGGGUUGUCAUAAGAAAAGCCAGGAAAUCCCUAAGAGAAGUUGCUUCCCCCAGAAGCUCCUGGAAGGGCCCCACAUUGCCGGCUAGGACAUUAGUAACAGGCCUCUUGCUCUUGGUUGUCCUCGGUGAUAGCCAGCUGUCUUCCGAGAACUCGGACUCUGCCACGGUCUGUUGUACAAGUGGGGGCGAGCCGGCGGUGUGUUGUUUUUCUCUGGGUCGGUGAGGAGCAGAGGUGAGGAGGCACGGCUUGCCAGUGUCCUAUUUGUCUUUCUGUUUGUUGUUGCAACUGGCCUCAUUAGGUCAGGCGAGAGCUGCCAACAUUUAUAACUUGGGCUUUUCUAAUUAAAGUUCCGCUGAAAAGGCUCCCCCCCCUCCUCCGCCUCUCUGCAGGAAUGUGCUCUCAUAACACAGGCAUCUGCCCCCCGGACUAACCUUUCUUGAAACCAGAUAAACAAAGUAAUACUAAUAAAAAUAUCCAUCUGUGCUUAAAGAUAAAUAGAGCAUUAAUACAGCAAGCUGAGAUCUGGAUCCUCUCAGAGCCAGCCCUAAUGAUAUUAGACAUCUGUUCCAGCCUCACUUUCUGCUCAUGUUCCGUUUGCACCUUCUUAUACGAAAACAACUUGAGUGGGUUGGUGUGGGGAGAAGGGGUGCCCCUUGACCACCGACCUUCUGAGAAGGUGAGAGACAGCAGGGUGAGCCGACAGUGUGCACCCUGCUUGGGCUCUGUCAUGGGUUUUAAGCGUGGUAGUCUUUUUUCAGUUUUAUUUUUGGAUACCAGAGUGCCAGUUUAUUCAUCGAGACCAGAUGUCCCCAGGCUGGCAUGGUCGUGGCAGUCUUUCUCUUCCUGGGGUCAAGACGUGACAGUACCCCUGAAGUGUCUGUUUACCGAGAGAGCCGUGUCUCAGCCUGGAAAGAUGGGAGGAGGGUGCUUGCCCUUAAGGAGAAGUGUACCCGGGCGGGAGAAGCCAGCCUCUCGGGGCUCCUAACAGUUUCGCACUCAGGAAGAAUGGCAGGCAAGAUGCUACCUGGGGGGACAGCUUUCUCUACUUGAGGGCAGACCUGUUGACCUGGGGUCCUUACUUGUGCUGCUACGUCCAGCGAGAUGAGCAAGUCACCAGGGGUGGGGGCCAUGCUGAGUGGGGGAAUUACAAACUGCUGCAGCCACGGGGAGGGGGCUGCUACUGACCUGUGGUCUGAAGACCCAGGAUGCUCCGGGAGAGCAAGGUGAGGGGCAGCCUUGCCCAGCCAAGAGCAGCUGGUCCCAAGUGAUGACAUGGCAUCCACAUUGCUAAAUGGCAGAAGCAUUUUUGCAAACAAAAAUCUUACACAGGGAGUUCCCAUUGUGGCUCAGGGGGUUAAGAACCCGACUAGUAUCCCUGACGGUGUGGGUUCAAUUCCUGGCCUCACUCAGUGGGUUAAGGAUCUGACGUUGCCAUGAGCUGUGAUGUAGGUUGCAGAAGUGGCUUGGAUCUGGUGUUGCUAUGGCUUCAGUGUAGGCUGGCAGCUGCAGCUCCAAUUCCACCCCUAGCCUGGGAACUUCCAUAUGCCAUGGGUGCAGCCCU